CACWCGCCAUAAGGGCGAAUUGGGCCCCGACGUCGCAUGCUCCCGGCCGCCUAUGGCCGCGGGAUUAGAGUGUGAUGCUGGCUCAGGAUGAACGCUGGCGGUAUGCUUAACACAUGCAAGUCGUACGAAGUGCGAUGGGGUUUACUCUAUCGUAUGGCAGUGGCGGACGGGUGCGUAACGCGUAAGAACUUACCUUUUGGCGAGGGACAACCGCGGGAAACUGCGGCUAAUACCUCAUAGAGCUGAGGAGCGAAAGGUGAAAACCACCAAAAGAGAGGCUUGCGUCUGAUUAGCUAGUUGGUGAGGGUAAUGGCCUCCCAAGGCGACGAUCAGUAGCUGGUCUGAGAGGAUGAUCAGCCACACUGGAACUGAGACACGGUCCAGACUCCUACGGGAGGCAGCAGUGAGGAAUUUUCCGCAAUGGGCGCAAGCCUGACGGAGCAAUACCGCGUGGAGGAGGAAGGCCCGUGGGUCGUAAACUCCUUUCCCAGAGAAGAACACAAUGACGGUAUCU
rnacentral:rRNA from 1 species